GGCAGGGCGCUUUGUCAAGAGUCGCGCGUGAUUACGGACUGACCGAUCGUACGGAUUCGAAGUGAUCACUUCGUUUGAACUUUUCAUUCUCUCGUUUUCCUUUGAGAGAGAACAUGUGUAUUCGUUUCGUAAAUUGAAUUGUUUCGUACCGUACAGCUUUUCCGGCGUGGAUCGAGAAUCGCGUGUUCCGCGUAUGUGCGAAAGCGAACAUCGAGAGAAUUGGUAAAUGCAUGUACGGUACUUUAGCAGGUUUCAACGUUAACGCUUUUCUACUUGUUUAUAUAGCCGUCCAAAGAGGCAAACGCAAUACAGUGAAAUCCAUUAUUUCAUUGAAAAUCGAAUCAAUCCAAUAGCAAUCAAGGAUAUUUGGUGAAAAGAGAAGAAGAAGAAGAGGAAGAAGAAAAAGAAGAAGAAGAGGAAGUAGAAGAAGAAGAAGAAGAAG